ACAGCCUCUACUGCAGAGCAUGGCUUGACAAAUGCUGGAUACUCCAUUAAACACAGCUGUGGGUGAAGCCAGGACAGACAGGAAUCCAAAGUGCAACAACUGGGCCAACUCCCAUUUUUCCGAGAUGGCUGCACCCAGGAAACCAGACCUCACCUACUGCAAAAAAACAUCCCAGAAGGGGAGAUUUUAGGGAUUGAUAAAAGACUGAGAAAACCGCAAUAUGGAGCACGCCGAUGAACCCACCGGAUUGUGACAGCGCUCCAGUGCGCACUGGUUAACUGCACCGCGGAUUCCUGAUCAUCUCUUCGCAAAAGCCUUUGUUCUCGCACUCGGCGUCGCUUGCCUCUGCGCCAGAAAUGCUGGGGGGGGGGGGACUGGAGCCAGGGAUUCACUGUGCUGCCUGUCAUGCCAAGGACAAACAAAGGAAAGCCAAAGCAGUUGAAAUAGUGAUGAGGAACGCAUGAGCGGCUUGGAGGCAUCGUCGUAGCAGCAUGAUGGUGUUGUGGUUAACAAAUAAAAACAUCUGAAGCAUUUUUGUGUGGCGUGAACAUGCUCUUCGUGAGUUGAUUGAAUCAGUUUAAUGAUUGGUGAGACCACCCUGUGGUCAAAACAAAAUAAACAGUGUGUGAAAAUGCUACUUUACUUUUUUCCAGGGGCAGUUAUAGGAAUUCAUUUUAAACAAUUUGAGGCGUAAUGUAGCUUACGAAACAAUAAUCUCUCACGAAACUGAUUUGCCAAAAUCAGCAUGACAAUAUAUUUUUAAGUAACUAAAUGGUGGAAUAAUAGUCACCCCUUUUCCACAUCCAUUCAUUUCAGAUGAACUAAGAGCACAUUACAUUUAAACAGGCCAACUUAGUCUGAGUCUUUGCUAGUGUAAUCAAUAAUUGUAUAACAAUAUACAUGUUCAGGCUGUUAAGGAAACUUGAGGCAAAGACUUAUGAUUAAAAUGUAUUCAAUGUUAAAUUCAGUCACCUGAGUAAGAAGAAAGAACAACAUGCUAAGCUGAGCAGCUCACAAAGCUAACAAACUCGCGCUAACUACCGUGCUAAUAUUAAGCUAACGUUUUGGCAGAUACAGUUGAGAUCAUUAUAAAUUGUAUGUGUUAAAAUGUUUCAAAUCUAGACUGUAUUUCCGUCAAAAUUACCUUUAAACAUAAAUUUUAAUGCAAACGCGUUGGCCUACCGUAUUGUUUCCUUUGAAUCAAUCCUUAUCAGAUUGGUCAAUGAAACCCAAGGGUUGCCUCACUGGUAACAUUCAGACCUGUUGUAGUUGUUUUUUUGUCUAACGUUGUCAUUUCCAAUUUCUUCAAAUAUCAAUAAUAUACUUUUUAUAU